rnacentral:tRNA from 1 species
GGAGAGGUGGCCGAGCGGCCGAUGGCGCACGCCUGGAAAGUGUGUAUACCUCACGGUAUCGAGGGUUCGAAUCCCUCCCUCUCCGCCA